rnacentral:rRNA from 1 species
CCUACGGGCGGCAGCAGUGAGGAAUAUUGGUCAAUGGACGCAAGUCUGAACCAGCCAUGCCGCGUGCAGGAUGACGGCUCUAUGAGUUGUAAACUGCUUUUGUACGAGGGUAAACCCCGAUACGUGUAUCGGGUUGAAAGUAUCGUACGAAUAAGAAUCGCCUAACUCCGUGCCAGCAGCCGCGGUAAUACGGAGGAUCCGAGGUUUUUCCGGCUUUAUUGGGUUUAAAGGGUGAUUAGGCGGGAUGAUAAGUUAGAGGUGAAAUGUCGGGGCGCAACGCCGGAAUUGCCAUUAAUACUGUUGGACUAGAGAAUAGUUGCGGUAGGCGGAAUGUAUGGUGUAGCGGUGAAAUGCAUAGAGAUCAUACAGAACACCGAUUGCGAAGGCAGCUUACCAAUCUAUAUCUGACGUUGAGGCACGAAAGCGUGGGUAUCGAACAGGAUUAGAUACCCCAGUAGUC